rnacentral:rRNA from 1 species
CGGACGGGUGAGUAACACGUGGAUAACCUACCUAUAAGACUGGGAUAACUUCGGGAAACCGGAGCUAAUACCGGAUAAUAUAUUGAACCGCAUGGUUCAAUAGUGAAAGACGGUUUUGCUGUCACUUAUAGAUGGAUCCGCGCCGCAUUAGCUAGUUGGUAAGGUAACGGCUUACCAAGGCAACGAUGCGUAGCCGACCUGAGAGGGUGAUCGGCCACACUGGAACUGAGACACGGUCCAUACUCCUACGGGAGGCAGCAGAC